CACAAUAUAUACAUUAUUAUGUUUACUUAAAAAAAAAAAUUUUGUAUAUUGACCUUAAGAAAGACAAUAGUGUGAAAGCCGUCAUUGCAAAAAUUCGAGUAAACUGGAAUAUUACAGAUAAAGCCCAUGAGAUAUUAAAGUAAACAUCCAUAGCUCUCGAAAUCCUGCAGAUAAGAUGAUUUUGAAUCAGCAAAUAGGUCUUGUCCGACCAACUCUUGGAAACUACUAGCAUUAGCGAUAUUUUGGAGAUCCAAAAUCUUAGCUUGUGCAUGGUCCAGACUUCACUGAGCACUCAAGUAUAAAUAAGUCUUACAACUUCCUAACGAAAAACUUAAUGACUUCAACUUAAAUUGCACACUAACCUAGAAUUUGGGCUACUUAGUAUUUAAAACCUUGUGUGCUUUUGAAAUUCUUAUCAGUUAUGUACUUGAAAUUAGACUUUCAUUUCAUAAAACAAAUUUUAUUUUGGGAUUGAAGUUUGUGGGUAACUUUACUGCAAACCCUCACAAGACAACACUCGUCAACUAGGGUAACCUAGGGGUUUAACAGCUUGUUGCACAUGCUAAGUAUAAUCGUUAUGCUCUACGAAAGUGAGUAUUUAUCUUAGUUCAUGUAUAUAUAUAUAAUAAUAAUUAUUACUUUUGCACUCUCAUUUCCGCACUAAAUUGCUAGAGACUAGCAAUAAGCUGGUUGGGGGGUGUGAUGAGAGCACAAAAGUGCAAUCAUCAUAUCAUCUUAAUUAGUAUUUUAGCUAAUCAUUAAUGAUAAAAUUUACUAAUUAAUGUUGUAUUUGUGUUGAGUGCAAGUAAUCCAAGAGAUCCAAUAACAUUGGGUUUGAGCCCAACGCAGCCGGCACGUCCGAGAUCUCCCAGCGUAUCACGCCCGCGUGCCAGCCCAUCUGCAUCCCAGCAGCCUACGUUCUUCACGCAGUGGAAGUCCCAGCUGCCGUUCCGAGCAAAUGCAGCAUCCAGAUCUCCAUUCAAUCUAGCACCCAAAGAAGGAAACCAUCUCCUCUUUUUUCAGCCAUAGCAGCGGUUAGCAGGGGAUUUUUAGCAUCCCAGCACUCCAUCCAUCCGUGGGCCAAAGAAGAAAGUCCAUCUCCCACUCCAGGCCGUCUGCGUCUUCCGUCCGUUCCCACCGCGCCUCACAGCCGGUCUAGGCCGUCCGCGUCUUCCGUCCGUUCCCACCGCGCCUCAAAGCAUCGCGUCCGAGCUGCAUCCAAAGCUCCUCCGUCUCAGCCCGGAUGACCGCCUCUCCUGUGAUCGGGUCCAGCUGCGUCUGAGCUUUCCGGAUCUCUUCCAUGCCCCAGCAAUUGGGUCCCCUAAGCAUCUUCUGUGAUCAACGCCCACAGCAUCCCGUGGCAUCUUCCAUCUUCAGCAUCCCAUCUUCUGUCCGUACUCAUCUUCCACCUCAUCACCGACAUCUUCCCAAGUUCAUGAUCCCAGCAUCCAGUCUUCCGUAAUCCAGCCUCCCACGCCCGUCCGACUGCAAGCGUGAUCCAAGCAUCGCGUCCAGCCGCUCGUGAUUCUCCCUCAAAUCCCAGCUUCCUUCCCGAAUCAGCGUCCGUGAUCAAUCUCCUCCAUGAUCCGCCCAGCCACGGCAUCCCACGCUGCAAUCAAGCUCCUCCAUCUCAGCCUCCCAUCCCGCGGCCAGCUUCCGGAGACCCAAUCCCAUUGAUCAAGUGUCCGUUUUCCUCUCCUCUCCACGUGCUUGCUGGGGAUGUAUAUAAGGGUGGAGGUCGGCUGGUUCAAGGAGGAACAGAGGGGGGAGGUCGGCAGGUUCAAGAAGGAACAGGGGAGGAGCUCUAUUUUUCGGAGAAGAAGAAAGAGAAAAUCAUAUAUUUUAUUCUUUCUUUUAAUGUUCCACCGUGCAGGAUUACUUUUUCCUUGUUUUUGUUUUUUUAUUUUAUGUUCUUGUAAUCAAUUUUCUUUUUAUGAAAUCCAUCAAUUUUUUCUUAUGAAAUCCGUUUUCUAGGUUCAGUUUAAUGUUUGUAAUUUAUUUUAUGUAUUCUGAAAUUCUUAGUUUUAAGAUAACUCUGAAAUUAAUUUUUGCUGUUCAACUGGCGAUUUUAAUUCAU
rnacentral:lncRNA from 1 species